CUGGGGGCUCAGCAGUGCCCGGCACAGAGCUCCGGGUACGGACAGGGAGCAGAAAAAAAGCAGGCAGAGUCUCUCGAAGCAUCCCCGCUCCCUCUGUCGGCUUUCUGUUCUUUCUACGGCAGCUUUCUAUUGAUGCAAUCUUAUUUUUGGAAGCGUUUUUAGGCAGGCAUUACCGGCCUCAGCAGAACCAAGGAUAGAUUGGAAAGAUAUAGGGGGGGAAAAAAAAUAAAUAAAUAAGAGGCUAUAAAGGGCAGAAGAUAUUUUUAAGCAGAAAGGGUGGGGUGAUCUGCAGCACGGGUAUGGGAUGGGGAGAAGCUGCUGUUGGUGCAUCACAUUUGGCAGCAGGUAGGAUGGGGUUUGCAAGCAUCCAUGCGUUGCAGGCAGCAGAGCUGGGGGGUCUGGGGGGCCACAGUGCUGCUCCUGCAAAACCCGAGCAGCUGCACGUAAAGCAGAAUUGUCAGGAAUGUGAGUGCCAAAGACUGAAAAAAAAAAAAAAAGAAAGGGGAAAAAAAGCCCACUCUGAGAAUGAAGAUGCUCGGAGAGAGACAGCAAAGAGCGUGAGGUCAGAGAGAGCAGCUUAUGCAAAGGCUUGAAAGAAGCAAGGGAGCGUAGCAAGAGUGGGAGCCCAGCCUUCAGCCGCCUGACAGCUGGUAGGGGAGGAAGAAAAUGAAUUCAGGUGUUGAUUAAGAGGGAUCCACAGCUGAAGAUGCUGUGCUUCCCCCCGCUGCAGCCCUUUCCCCUUCCAGAUGCUCUGGGAGAGAGGCUGCCAUCCUUGUUUUGAUUUUGCAGCCCUACACCCCGAGGUUAUUUGGCCACAGCGGCGAUGUGAGCUCAGCUCCUCCAGGACACGGCUCAGUGCUCUGCCUCCUCCCGGAGCCGCUCUGCCUUCAGCAGUCCUGGCAGAGUGCUGAACAUGCUGUGGGUCCAGGUGAGCUCCCUCCCAGUGGGAGCAUCCAAUGAAGGCUGCAGCAAAGAGUGGGUGGAAGAGCAGAGCCAGGAGCUGCACGGGCGCAGCAGCCUCAGCUGACCCGGCACACCGAAGAAAUCAGCGUUCUGAGCAGGCUCAGGGUUGGAUUUGCUUCUUACAGCUUCCCGUCCUGAUGAGAAAGGCAAAGUUAUUUUGGGAACAUCAUGAAUGAAAACCGAGAGGUGACCCAGGCAGCCAUGAGGUGGGGGCAGCCAGAGACAACACUUCUACCCACAGAAGAUGCUCCGGAGGCUGUUCGCCUUUGAUUCCUUCUCCCCAGUGCAAUGAGGAGCAAUUAUCCUUCCCAUAAAAGACUCCUUCUUUUAGGGGACUCAUAGCGACUUCAAAGAAAGGGCAGGUCUCUCUGGGGAACAAAGUUGUCAUUUGAGUGAUUCUAGGCUGAUGAAAAGUGCCCGCCUGCUGCUGCCCGGCCCUCUGCUCCCACCCAGGCUUGGUUCAAAGCGAGCAGCCCCAGGGGAUGGUGCAUUCCAUGCAGUGAUCCCAUGCUGUGGGACCCCACCUCGGCCGGGACCUGCAGCUCUGAUGCUCACCUGGCAUUGCCCAUAGGGCUGAGCAGCAUUUUGGGGCUCACUCCUUGCAAACAGGAGCUGCUUCCCAGCUGCUGCUGUGGUUGUAGGUGGGAGGAUGGGCACAGUGACCCCAUACCCAAACAUUGCAGCAGCCUUGUGGGGAAGCAGCCUGGUUCCCCAAGCUCUCAGCACCCAAUUGCCUGCAGCCCCAUGGGAUGUGAUGCGCUGAAAGAGUCCCUGUUUCAUCCCUCACAUGCGGAAAGAAAGCACAAAGAAGUCACACAAGCACCAGCAGCUUUGCUGGAGCCACUUAGGGCUGUGCUACCCCACGCAGCGAUGGGAGGGAGCUGGGUUGCAAUGAGGCAGAAGGCACCAGAAAAGCAGGCUGGUUUCAGGUGUCCCGAGCGCUGCCGACCUGAUCUUAUCUCCAGCUCUGGGUAGGGGUUAUCUCUGCUUCCUGUGAUGAAAGCACCGUGAGAGACAGUGCUGGCAGGGGAGGUGAGGUGAAUGCCAUUUGGUAACACAGGUGUCUGACUUUACUUGCGACAAAGGCAGCCCCGAGGUGCAGAAAGACCCCUGUCCAACCUUGAGUCCCUGCCCCUAUUGCCCCCUGCAUCCCCACCUUGGGUGCAGGACACCUCUGCUCCCUCACCCCAGCUCCCCAUUGCUUUUGUACUGAUGAGUACUGAUGAUCUGCAACCUCCACCUGCCAUUUCCUCCAAGCUGGAAUUCCCAGCUCCUGGAUUCAGCCACCUCCACCUUUUGGUCGGAUUUCAGAGCCCAACAUUCUUUCUCAGGACCCAUUUUUCUCCCACUUCACGCAGUCCCAUCUCAACCCAGCGUUAGCAGUCAGCAGAGCUGAGGCUGCGAGCAGAAGCCUGGACGUGGUGGGGGAUGAGGCAACGAGGGGCUGGGAUGCAAAUCUUGGCAGAAACCUUCUCUGAGGCUUUCUGGCUCCCAGCAAUGCUCCAAUCUGCUAAUUGACUGCACGCAGCCCCGGCUGAGCUCUGACUUCCAGCUUGUGCAUCGCUCAGCACAGCCGCACGGAUGCGUGGGAUGCACAGCAUCCUCGUGUCACGUUUGUGGGGAACAAUGGGGCUGCUGAGCAAAGCCAGCCCUACAUGGGGACACUGCAGGCAUCACUCUGUGUCCCUGUCCCGUCCCCCACCUCCCCAGACAGCUGCAUAGGUUCAUUUCCCUGGCAAAUGAACAGCGGGGAAGGGGGCAAAUAAUGCUGGAGCCCAGGUGGCCCCUCUCACUGCCCAGUCCCAAUGGGAUACUGGCGGGGGGACAGGGAGAGAAAGGGGGAAUGAGUGGUCUGGGAGUGCUCGCUGGUGGGGAUUAAAGGCUCAAUCUUGAGAUGAGAGAAGGAAAUGAGAAUUAAAUCAGUUCCUAGCGCCUGUUCGGUGUUGGGGGAGGAUUUAUUGCUGGGGUCAGGACGGCAGCACAGCUGGCGAGGGGACCCUGCAAUGAGGGAGGGUCUGGGGGGGGCAGUGGGGGUCAGAGACCCUCCUUGCUCCUGGAGCAGGGAGCAGCACUGAGCAACGCUGGCUUCCUAUGGGUGCGGGGUAUUGUGGGGGGAACAGAGAUAUACCUGCUGCCCUUUCCUUUCACACCUUCCCUGUGCUCCCAGCAGCUGUGUGUAUCAGAGCAGUGUUGGGUCCCCCACUCCCUCCCUCCCUCCGUCCCCAGAUCCCACCUUGCCCAGCCCUUCCUGACCCCCAUCCAUCACUUUUCUCUGCCUUCAUCUCCUUUUCCUCCCUCUCUCCCCUUUCCUUUUGUUUUUCCUGCCUGCCAUCAUUCACCACGCAGGAUGCUGAGCCGAAAAAGCCUCAUCCCCCCCGUGACCAAUGGGGCAGGGACACGGUCACCACCGUGCCCCCACCAGCAAUGGGGUGGCAAUGGGGCGCCUGGCAGGAGCUGCCCAUAAAAUGAAGAAAGUUAAUCAUGGAGCUAAUUGAAACCAGCGGCCCUGGCGUGUUCUGAGCAGAGGGGAGGAAGGAAGGGGGUGGGAAGCUGGGGCUGGGUUGGAUGGGGGGUGGUGUCUUUGGGGUUUUGUGUUUGUGUUUUUUAAGCCAUGGAACAAAUCCAUAUGGUUGCGCAGGCAAUUCCCAGGAACUCUUAGCCUGGGCUCAAUCAUGAAAUGUCUCAAUCCUUUCAGUCCGAGUGUAAAAUUGAGGUUCUUUGGGAGGAAAUUGUUUGUUUGGCGGUGCUUUCCUGAGGCUCUGCGGGCAACUCUGCCAUGGGGGGUAUUUCACCCCCCCCCCUCAGAGCUGUGUGGCUGUGAUCCACCCCCAGCAGGACCACGCUGUUUGCCCAUCAUCCCCAUGCAUGGUGUGGGAUUGUGACACCCAUCAGACCCAUGGAUGGGAGCAGGCAUGGGUGUCCCCAUGUAGUGUGGGUCCAGGGCACCCAUCAGACCCAGAGAUGGGAUCCUGGCUGGGUGGGGAUCCUGGCUGGGUGGGGGAGAGGCUGUGGGCGCUGUGGUCCCAUCACUGUGAUCCCAUCAGAUCCACUGCCAGCACUGUGUGACUCUCAUCCCCCCCCCUCAUUAAUUUCCCUCAUUGCACCCACCAUAAUUAACACAUCCCCAGCCCAGGCUGCCCUCCUGCAUUGUGUUUCAGCUUCGAAGCCAUCACUCACUGCUGCAAGGCACGGGCAGGUUCACCCCACUGCUGGGUGCUGCUUCCCAUGGGAUGUUUGGGAAGACCUGAAUGGUGCUGAGAUCCACGUGUGGAUCUGCAACUGUUCUCCACCUCCGGGCUCCGACCUCGCAGCCGUAUGAGCGAUCCUUUGGGUGCUUUCCAGCUCUAAACCGAAGCAUCUCUGCAGCAAAGCCCUGAUUAUUCCAGGCUGCAAAGCAGGUCUGCAGCAAUUAGAGAUGGAACAAAACCCUUCCAGCUCCGGAGCCACGCAGGGGAAAAACAAAUCUGCGUGGGAUGGAUUUGAGCUUAAACACAGACUGCCCUGGCCCCGAGCAAUGAGGGUGGCAGGGAUGUGCCCGGGGUGGGGAGGGGGCUGCCAUCCCCACUGCCUUCCCACGACCCUCCUGGCGCCCGCCCCGCUCACAAAACCAGAACUCCUUAUUCCUGAGAACUUAAUCUGGUGGUUUUGUUCAGCAAAACUCCAGCAGCCGUCAGCUGGGAGCGGGGGCUGCGCCGGGCAGCACGGGAAAGUCUCGUUUUGCAUCUAAUGAAAAUUGCAUCCUUUGUUGUUCUUCUUUCUUUAGAUAUAUAUAUAUAUAUAUAUUUUUUCCCUCUCGACUACAAAAAGGGGACGUUUCCAACGCUCAGCAGCUGGAGAUAAAAAAAAAGGGAUAAAAUAUUUAUUCUCAAAUGAGCCGGUAAUAAACGAACCUGGGAGCUCGAGUCUGAGCUGGGUUUACGUUCGCUUUGUCUUUCAGACGGGAAAAAAUGAGUCAGCCUGCAGUGAAUGCGCCGUGCUGCUUUUUCCUCCUCUCGAGGCAAUGAGAGCCUCGUUAGCCACCUUGCAGGCCAAGCCCGGGUCUCAGCUGUGUUUUGCCCCUGAGCAGAGGACUUUUCCCAUCUCUUUGGAGCAGCCCCAUCCCUCGGUGGGCGCGGAGCCGGACUUCCAUUUGCCUGGGAAUGCAAAUCUCCCUCAUCUGUCCCACGCUGCCUUUGAAACAGGAGAAAGUCAGCCCUGCCAGGUCCUGGGGAGGCUUUUUCCUGCUCGUGGUGAUUUUGUCUUCAGCUGUGUUUGGAAGGAAACCAGCACGGCCACUUUCUCCCGGCCUCUGUAAAUCAUUCCUUCUCCCCCCCCCCAAUCCUUUCCCCUUUCAUACUAAAAUAAAGGAAAUAAUUAAAAGAGCAGGAAAAUGAGCUGCUGGCAGGUUUCCUACAGACCAUCUCAGUGCUGCGGUGCUGUUGCUCGGCCAUAGGGCAGCCUCUCCAUAGCAGGGCACUGCUGGCAGCCCGCUGUCCUCGUGCAAAGCAGAGCGCUGAGGUUUGCCCUGGUGACUCCUUGGCAGCAUCUGCAAAGGGGCACUGCAUCAGUGGUGCAGCAGCAAACUGCAUUUCACAGCAAUGCUUCGAGGGAAACCGGGGAGGUGUCCCCCAUCUAUCCCCAGGGUCUCUUUGCUGAGGGUCGCUAUGGGGUUUGCUGGGUGCCUCCUUUGCAUCCUUACUCUUAGGUUCCUGGAUCUGGGUUUUCUCAACAUAUUUUGGGCAACGUUUCAUAUCCCUCAUGCACUUACAGAGAUGAUUCAACAGCAGCAAUAGGAGCUGCACACGCAUGGAGGAGACCAUUGCCUUGCUGAGGUAUCAACCCUCACGCUGUCUCCAUCAUUAAUUCUCUACCUGAAUGCACCCACCUGGGGCUGUUUCCCUCUCCCUGCUUGCAGGGCCACAUCCAUUAAAACCCAGACCUCUCCUCCCCUCCCCAUGCUUUGCUUCCAGCUGUGGCCCAGCAGGGUCACCUGGGGGAUAUUUAGGUGUGAGGAGGGGCAGAUCUCCUCUUCUCCCCACCCCACCCUGUGCAUGGUGAGGAGGUCUUCCCCAUGUCAAGGGGGUGAGGUGGGUCGUGCUGGGUGCCUUGGAGGUGUUUUCUCUCUUUGCUUAUCAUGGCAACGCUGUCCGUCCUACCCAGGUGAGUGAGGGAGGGCUGUCUGUUGGCUGCAUGACACUGGGGUGGCUUUGUGGCUGCAGGGGGUGGUCUUGGCUCUGUCACCACCCAGAUGUCCUCAUCUCACAACUCCCUGUGCCAGGACAUCUGCACCCUUCCCCUGUGCUCCCUGUCUAUGUGGGGCUGUCUGAGUCACCUCUCUCCUUGUUCUGUUCCGCCUUGCAAAGCACUGGGCACAUUGCUUCUGCCCUUUGGGGCCAGGCUUAUCGCAUCCCAACCCCAGUGCUGCUUUCUGCUGGAGCUUCAAGAUGUACAUCAGCAUCAACAAUCACAGAGGUUCAGGCCAUGCACAGUUCCCUGAUCCUGGCCGAUGGGACAGCACAGCCCCUUGUGAUGCAAUGCCUGCUUCCCAUUAUGGGGGAAUGCAGCCCAUAUGGUGGGCAGAUUUCUGCCUGGAGGUGGGGGGGGGGGGGGAGCUGAGCUCUGCUGCUGCAGGCACUGCUGGCAGCUCAGGGUGCUCUGGUGAGGUCAGGACCCGAGUGCCCCAAAUCCCCCCUUUCCCUGCACCAGCUGCCCCCAUGAUAGCCUUGGGGUGACCUGCAGGAAUGCUUGCUUGUCUUCUUUGUGGAGGCAGACAGAUGCUUGGGGAAGAAAUAGAGGUGAGAUUAGCACUUCUCAGCUGCAGCUGAGUGCUGUGAGCUGUUGUUUCACGUGCAAAGUCCUGCUGCAAUUCUGGAAGCUACAUUCCCAUCACUGUUCCUACACAAAAGGAGGGUUGCAGCUCCCUGCUCAUGCAUGGGGUGAGAGCAUAU
rnacentral:lncRNA from 1 species